AGUGGUCUUUCUGAAGAACAGGGCAUUUUAUUUAUUAAAGUAUCAUUAGUUGUCAUAAACUAGAAAUUGUACUUCUGGUUGGAAUUCGUUUGAUCUGAAAAGGAUGUGAAUCAUACCAUUUUAUGUUUUAGGAAAGGUGCAGAAAUUGAAAAGUUGUAACUUGUCACCACUUUGAUUUCUACUUUGUUUCUCUGCUGUUAUAGAGUAGCCAUUGGUCUUGAAGCACACACUCGAGAUACUCAUAGCUAUAUACUGUUACUUGUUAUGCACGUACCAUAUUUGGUUGUUUAGAUGUUUUUCUCAAAGGUAAUAUUGCAGGGAUGAUGGGCACAAUUCUUUAACUCUGAUGCUAUUUAUUCAGUUUAGUGUGUGUACUGUUUUGACUUGUACUUAUUUUCGGGAUGGAUAGAAUG
rnacentral:lncRNA from 1 species